rnacentral:rRNA from 1 species
AAUGAACGUUGGCGGCGUGGAUUAGGCAUGCAGGUCGAGCGCGAACCCCGCAAGGGGUGAAAGCGGCGAAAGGGAGAGUAACGCGUGGGUAUCUGCCCUCGGGACUGGGAUAGCUGCGGGAAACUGCAGGUAAUACCAGAUGACGUCCCCGGACCAAAGGUGUGAUUCCGCCUGAGGAUGAGCCCGCGGCCUAUUAGCUAGUUGGUGGGGUAAUGGCCUACCAAGGCAAUGAUGGGUACUGGGUGUGAGAGCAGGACCCAGCUCACUGGGACUGAGACACUGCCCAGACACCUACGGGUGGCUGCAGUCGAGAAGCUUCGGCAAUGGGCGAAAGCCUGACCGAGCGACGCCGCGUGUGGGAUGAAGGCCUUCGGGUUGUAAACCGCUGUCAGAGGGGAGGAAUGGGCGGAGGGUAAUCUCUUCGUUUUGACCUACCCUCAGAGGAAGUACGGGCUAAGUUCGUGCCAGCCGCCGCGGUAA